UACGGAGGAUCCAAGCGUUAUCCGGAUUCAUUGGGUUUAAAGGGUGCGUAGGCGGAAUGAUAAGUCAGUGGUGAAAUCCUGCAGCUUAACUGCAGAACUGCCUCUGAUACUGUCAAUCUUGAGUACAUUUGAUGUGGGCGAAAUGUGUCAUGUAGCGGUGAAAUGCAUAGAUAUGACACAGAACACCGAUUGCGAAGGCAGCUCACAAAACUGUAACUGACGCUGAGGCACGAAAGCGUGGGGAUCAAACAGG
rnacentral:rRNA from 1 species